UUUAAGUUUUGCCGGCCUUAACCAAACGAUCGAUCCACUCGAUCCUUCACCUCCAUCACGUCACCACUUCAGAACCACCAUGACAGGGGUGCCACCCCACGAGAAUUCACUUAGUCCACCGGGUCUAUACCCACUCGAGAAGUGCGGUCGUACUCUGAUCGUUUCCUGCAUAGCUUCUUGACUCAGUCCUUAACUGACCAGGGUCGGCGACUAGCCGUUUCCAGAACCACCCAUAUUCUAUCCAUGCCGCCCCAGUCGAAAACAUUUUGUUUAAUUAGGUUUUUGGUUUUCGCAAAGGUUUUUACUGCGGGUGGCGCUCAUGUCUCCACCCGCCUUCUGGCAAUCACUCUCGACGAGUGACCGCUACCAACACAUCCAUACCCAACUAUUAUGGAGUGUACAAUCUUCUAUAAUUAUAAGCAAUACUAAGCAAUGUCAAUAAUUGACCACGCAUAAUUAAUAGACUCAGGCAACAAGGAUAUAAUAAAGGUAACAAUAUCAAGGAGGGGUAGGUACGCAUUUUAUAAUUAGCAUGCAACUUUAUUUAUAAACAAAACAUUUAUAAACUGGGUUCAAUAUGUUCAAGGAGGGGAGCGUAGUGACUUGCCUUGCUUUUAGAAACCGAUAUCUUCGAGAAAUCCACGAUCGACGAAUAACCGGAAUACCCGAUACGCGGUUAGCACGAGAAAACCAUAUAAAAUCCUCUAAAUAAAGUACCAAACAUUAGUGCCAUUGGAUAGAUCCCGAUUUUAGAAAAAUUCCGAAAGUUGAACGGAAUCAAUCGGAGUCACGGUUGAAAAGAUAUGAAUUCCCGAAGAUUAGAUGAUUUAUAAAUCGAGGGGGAAGGAAUACCCAAAAUAGGAUCCCUUUAUUUUGAGGAAAUAUCCCCAUGGUUGCCCUCUGGAUAGGAGGAGGUAGAAAGGACUUAUCCUUGGGUGAGCUUGGGCUUCAACCCAAGGAUACAGGAGGUCUAAUAGGGAGGUAUUAUGGACUUUCAGAGAGGAACUUGGGUUCUGGAGGGAUGUAAAAUAGACUUUUCGUAGGAAGGAGUUUCUGGGCUUGGAUAAGGAAGUAGGGGAGGAGAAAUAGACUUUUUGGCAGCAGUCAAGGUCACGAGAUGGAGUCAGCACAGUGGGCUCCACUGGUAGGUCCCACGACAUUUACUUUUUCCCUUUUUAUUUCUUUCUCUCUCGAUUCUUCCUCUUCUCUUUCUCUCUCUCUCGUUCCCUUCUCUGAUUUCUCCUCCUCCACGCGAGUUCCAGAGAAGAAGGUGCCUGCGGCGGUGCCGGGCGCAGCGGUUGCCUGGCGCGGGGCGGCGCGCCGGGGAGGAAGGGAGUAGCGCCGGCUGGGAAGAGGAGGCCGGGGCGCCAGCGGCUCGGGCCGGGUGGCGCGGCAAGAGGCGGCACGGCGGCGCUCGGUGCGGCGGCUUUCGGCGCUCGGUGCGCGACGUCACGGCCGGCGUCCGGGCGCGGUGGCGCGGAGGAGAGGAGGAGGUAGCGGUGCUGGGAGCAGAGGAGGUGGUGGUGGAUGGGGGAUGGUUCGCGCGGCGACGACAGAGGUCGUCGGGGUGGCGUUCUACCCGGAGCGGCGGCGCGUGCACCGCGCGGUGACGGCGCGGCGCGGCCGAGCGCAGCGCGCGAGAGGUCGGCGGCCGAGAGGAGGUAGCCUCGUGGCGGGCGACGCUCGUCCCGAUGCGGCGAUGGCCCGGAUCGAGGCGGUGAUAGCGACGAAGGUUGUGGUGGCUCCCUUGUUGGGCGGAGGCAGGGGUGGCCGCAGGAGGUGCCUGCGCGGUCGUCGUGGCCGUGCGCGGCAACUUCAACAGCAGCGAUCGAGCGCGGCGACGGCCUCGAUGGGUGCCCGUCCAGGUGGAGAUGGAGGCGGGUGGCAGAGAGGGGAAAAGGGGUGGCUGGCUGUGGUGGGGAGAAAACAGCACGAAGAGAAGGCUGCUCCUGGCGAUGGUUUUGCUUGUAAUGCCAAUGGCUUCGAGGAGAAUGAUCGGCACAGUGGUGGAAGGGCGAUGUGGCGCGCGUCCAUAGGUUGGACGGCGGCGGCGCGGGCCCGGGUGUCGACAUCGACACAGUGGAGGGGAGGUGCGAGGCGGGCGGCGUGAACGCAGCUCACGCGGACGCUCGUCUGCGGCCGAUGGAGAGCGAGGAUGCAAGGCGUGGACGAGGAGUAGCGACGCUCACGCGGGCGACGUCCUGGGAGGCGGCGAAGUGACCAUCGGUCACAAGGCUUCCUUGGAGCACGUGUCGUCGGCGGAUGGGUUGGACGGCGAUAAUGUGAGCCCCGAGUGUCGACAUCGCUACAAGAAGGAGGCUUACAAGGACUUGGUGAACUGGGAGUUUGCAGAUGAAGAGAGACGGACGUCCUCAUCCAGGGAAUGCCAGGGCAUGGCUUCGGUGCACGGCGGGGUGCGUGCGACGCACGGGGAGGGCGUGCCUGCGACCGGCGCGGCGCACGGCCGGGGUUUGGUGGCUCGGUGCAGGAGCGCAAUGCGGCGUGGCACGGCUCGACGCGACGCGGCGCACGCAAUGAGGAGGAGCAGCGCGGCACGACGCGGUGGCUCGGGGGCCUGGUGCGCCAGCCUUGCCCGACUCGGCAUUUUGCCGAGCACGUGGCGGGCGGCGUGUCAGCCUGCUGGCGGAGGCAAGGAAGGAGGGGGAGUAGACUUGGCUGCAAGAUGGAGGGAGAGCUGGAGAGGGAGUAAAGACAGACUUGUGCUGGGGGGUGAGUUGGGCUGACCGGAAAAGGAGGCCCAACAGAAUGGGGACUUUUUGUAUUUGUAAGGAUUGGAAUUGGGAAGAAUUUUGUAUUUAGAAUUUGUAGAUGAACUGUAUAUUUGGACAUUUGGUUUGGCUCUGGGUUGAAACCUUGAAUUGUGGUUUGGAGCUGUAAAUGGAAUGUUUAAUUUGGGUAAUUGGAUUGGAUUCAAUUCAGCCGUUCAA